AUUGAACGCUGGCGGCAGGCCUAACACAUGCAAGUCGAACGAGUGGCGGACGUGUGAGUAGUGUCUGGGCAACUGACUGAUGGAGGGGGGUCACUACUAGAAACGGUCGCUAAUACCGCAUACUAUCAGAUGUGCCCAGAUGGGAUUAGCUUGUUGGUGGGGUAACGGCUCACAAAGGCGACGAUCCCUAGCUGGUCUGAGAGGAUGACCAGCCACACUGGAACUGAGACACGGUCCAGACUCCUACGGGAGGCAGCAGUGGGGAAUAUUGCACAAUGGGCGCAAGCCUGAUGCAGCCAUGCCGCGUGUAUGAAGAAGGCCUUCGGGUUGUAAAGUACUUUCAGCGGGGAGGCGUUACCCGCAGAAGAAGCACCGGCUAACUCCGUGCCAGCCGCCGCGGUAAUUC
rnacentral:rRNA from 1 species